GUGCUGCGCGCGAUAAAGUGACGUCACACGCCAACCUAGGAUCCUGGGAGCCGGUGUUUAUGCCUCAAACUUUUAAAGAACUAAUGGUUUAACUAACGUUUCGAUUUUUCCUUUUUUUUUACUGGAUUACCGUACUGGGACGCGGGGAUCGACGCCAGGUCAAUCGGUCAAGUGGAUGCGUUUAAUCGGUCCCGUAAGCAGAGUUCUGGUCGUAUUUCGGUGAUGAGGAACCGUAGUUCCGGUUAGUAGGCGGGGCCAACCAGACACUUUUCAUCACAAAGAUACGGCAGUCCCACCUUCUUCCUCCUCCCUGACCCAGACGCUCCUGUGGCAGCUUCUGCAGCAGAUGGGAGGUGAAAGGAGGAGCCAGGAGGAUGGAGGCCAUGCAAACAUUGAAGAGAAGGAAAGGUCACACGGGUCAUAUGGGGGCAAUAAGAGGGAGGAAACUUACAGAAGGACAGAUCGAUAGACCCCCUCCCCCCCACACACUUUUUUUUUUAUACUGCGCCUCUAAUCUAUGUCUCUUUUUUUGCCAGAUGUCAACUUGCGGUCCGUCUUUUGAGUUGAUUAAUAUGCAUUUUUUAAAAUUGAUUUUCAGGCUUAUUCGCUUGUCAGCCGUGUUUAGUUCAGGCUCACCUGUCAUUUUCCAUGCUGAUUAUCCAUCUGGAAAUCUGCAAUAGAGCAAAACAAGUCAACAAAUCAGUUUUGACGCAUUCAGGAUUAAAAAAAACGACUUUUAAUCCCGUCCGAGUGAGUGAAAGUUAAAGUUUCGAGUACUUAGUUUUAUUAGGACAAAGAAAUAGAAAAUCAGCACUGAAUAACACCUUUUCAGUGAGGCUUAAGUCUGGAGUUUAUGGGAUGCCUGCAGAGCUCCUGCAAAAGAGUGCAUACAGCUGCCUAUUCAGGACCCCCCACCCCUCCCAACCGCCUGCCCCCCAGCUGUACUCUUAUAAUGCUGCCCACCGCCUUCCAGUUAUGCAGGAAGCUACAUUGUUGAAGCUCCCUCCUCCCUUCCUUGCAGCACAACCUGCAGAAAAUGUUGGUAUCCAUCCCAUACUAAUAAGUAAAUACUAAGCCAUUAUUAUUCCCAAUAUUGAUCAUUUUUGUUUGAACAAUUUGGCGAAAUAUGCCUUUUAAUUUGUUGAUCGUGAUUAUAAUCAAGAGUAAAGCACAGGACAAAAGUUUGAGGCAAACAUAAAAAUAACUUAAUUAAAUUUAACAAUGUAUAAAUACAAUAUCAGACAAAAUAAUACAAUGUUAUUAAAGUAAAUAGUGUAUCAGUAAAGAAAUCAAACCACAAAUAAUCAAAUUACAUUCAUUUAUUUGUGGAGGCCCGCCACUAAUACAUUCGGACCGCCACUAAAACAUUUGGCACAACUGUUUUUUAUUUGGUGGUACCUAUUUACCCUCACUUACAAACACAUUAUAAUGGGACUGUGUGCAUAGGUUGUUAUUACAACUCUGUACAUUAGAUGGCAUCGUUACUCAUGAACACACCUCAUAUCCGUAUAACGCAUGUUAUGAUAGAGUACGAUAUUAAAUAUACAAUGUACCAUAUUUUUAAAAUCAGUGCAUACUUACAUAGAGCCCAUGAACGUUUUUUUUAUUUUUUUUGUCACCUGUUGUGUUCUAAGAAUCACGCACACGCAUGGACCGCUGCACAAAAUGAAACCUACACUCGUAAGCUACGUUGUGUUAAAUAAAGUUUUAAAAAUGUAAAAUAAACUCCAUACACACUCUGACUGGAGUUUUGCAUUCUGACCGAUUAUGCUAGUUAGAUAAUGUCUACCUGUUCUGUGAUUGACAGGUGACCCCAUCGAGGGGUCCAGCCCAGCCGUCACCCUAAUGACAAGCACCACAAAAAAUGAAGCCAUAAAUAAAAAUAUACCAAAGAAAUAUUUUUUUUAUUUCAGUUUGAAGUGAAAUUACAGCUAAAUGAUAAAUAAAACUGCUAAAGAACACAUAGCUGUCAUUUUUACGGCUUAUUAUAGAAUUUUUAAAAUAUAGUUAAUUUUAAAUGUUAUAUUCAUGAUAUACAUGUAUUGAAUCUUUAAUGUUAACACCCUGUUUUCCUUCUACAGACAGACAGCGCCCUCUACUGCUGCCCACAAGGGGCUGCCUCUUGAAGCAUACCUAGCAUCCAAAUAUGCUAGAAGAACUCCAGUGUAGGCUAAUAUAUGCCCAGCUAUCCCAACAUAACAUCCACUUCUAAGCAAAUUAGUGUAAUAUACAAUAUAUAAAUUACUAUUUCAUUCAUUUUCAAAAUUAACCAAGGGCCAAUUAAAGGAAAAUGGCUCCAAACAAAAAAAAAAAAAUGUGCCCAUGCUGCACUUUGAGCACCGUUAAUGAAAGUAAAAACAUCGUUUAGACUUAUGGAUGAGGAUAUCAUGACUUACAAAAUGACCGAUUCUGAACUUGACAUA